rnacentral:rRNA from 1 species
GCGCAGCAGUCGAGAAUCCUCCGCAAUGCGGGCAACCGCGACGGGGGACCCCAGUGCCGUGGCAUCGCCACGGCUUUUCCGGAGUGUAAAAAGCUCCGGGAAUAAGGGCUGGGCAAGGCCGGUGGCAGCCGCCGCGGUAAUACCGGCGGCCCGAGUGGUGGCCGCUAUUAUUGGGCCUAAAGCGUCCGUAGCCGGGCCUGUAAGUCCCUGGCGAAAUCCCACGGCUCAACCGUGGGGCUUGCUGGGGAUACUGCAGGCCUUGGGACCGGGAGAGGCCGGGGGUACCCCUGGGGUAGGGGUGAAAUCCUAUAAUCCCAGGGGACCGCCAGUGGCGAAGGCGCCCGGCUGGAACGGGUCCGACGGUGAGGGACGAAGGCCAGGGGAGCGAACCGGAUUAGAUACCCGGGUAGU